UCCUAAAGAGUAACGGAGGCGCUCAAAGGUUCCCUCAGAAUGGUUGGAAAUCAUUCAUAGAGUGUAAAGGCAUAAGGGAGCUUGACUGCGAGACCUACAAGUCGAGCAGGGUCGAAAGACGGACUUAGUGAUCCGGUGGUUCCGCAUGGAAGGGCCAUCGCUCAACGGAUAAAAGCUACCCCGGGGAUAACAGGCUUAUCUCCCCCAAGAGUUCACAUCGACGGGGAGGUUUGGCACCUCGAUGUCGGCUCAUCGCAUCCUGGGGCUGUAGUCGGUCCCAAGGGUUGGGCUGUUCGCCCAUUAAAGCGGUACGCGAGCUGGGUUCAGAACGUCGUGAGACAGUUCGGUCCCUAUCCGUCGUGGGCGUAGGAAAUUUGAGAGGAGCUGUCCUUAGUACGAGAGGACCGGGAUGGACAUACCUCUGGUGUACCAGUUGUCGUGCCAACGGCAUAGCUGGGUAGCUAUGUAUGGACGGGAUAAGUGCUGAAAGCAUCUAAGCAUGAAGCCCCCCUCGAGAUGAGAUUUCCCAACUUCGGUUAUAAGAUCCCUCAAAGAUGAUGAGGUGAAU
rnacentral:rRNA from 1 species